rnacentral:rRNA from 1 species
UACAGAGGGGGCGAGCGUUGUUCGGAAUUACUGGGCGUAAAGGGCGCGUAGGCGGCCCGCUAAGUCGAACGUGAAAUCCCCAGGCUCAACCUGGGAACUGCGUCCGAUACUGGCAGGCUUGAAUCCGGGAGAGGGAUGUGGAAUUCCAGGUGUAGCGGUGAAAUGCGUAGAUAUCUGGAGGAACACCGGUGGCGAAGGCGGCAUCCUGGACCGGUAUUGACGCUGAGGCGCGAAAAGCUAGGGGAGCAAACGGG